AGGUCUGUAAAGGGGGAAGCCUGCACGACUCGGGCCAAAAACCUGGCUUGAAGAGAACUCAGCUUCUGCCUGCUUUCCCUGGGUUCCGCAGCCACCAAACUGAACCCCUUGACCCUUACCCUUUACCCUAACGACUCCUCGCCUGGCCAAAGGAAUAAAUCCUUGUAUGUGUUUACAUCCCAGGCUAUCCCCGGGACUGAAGGGCUGAGAAGCCUGGGUCCACAGUGGAACUCGGAUGACCUUACAUUAACUCUGAAGAGGAGAGCAGCUUGCGGUGGAGCUGAAGCUGCCGGCAGGCCCAGAGGUUCCAUCUAGAAGCUAUGGGGUGUCUUCUCUCCUUUGGAAGGACUUUAGAGAUGGCAGUUGAGACUUACCAGGCUUUCGGGGCCUUAGGGCUACUUUGCUCCUUGGUUUGAGGCUGAAACGGAUUCUGGACACCUCCGUUCCCACUCGUCUGUGUCUCACCAUUUGGCUGCAUCAUUUAUCUGACGAAAUGAAGGUUGGGGCAAGAUGGUUAUUUCCUGGCUGAAGCUCUAGCUUUUCUGAGCCCUUUCCUGUUGGGGGCCACACUUCCUGCCCUACAGGAGAUGAUGGGAAACCAAGGAGCAGGGUGAGGAGAGCUGUGGGAAACCUUGUAAAGAAUGUAGAUAUUAAUGAUUAUUUUAUUUGAGGCUAGA